rnacentral:rRNA from 1 species
GUGGGGAAUAUUGGACAAUGGGGGGAACCCUGAUCCAGCCAUGCCGCGUGUGUGAAGAAGGCCUUUUGGUUGUAAAGCACUUUAAGCGAGGAGGAGGCUACCGAGAUUAAUACUCUUGGAUAGUGGACGUUACUCGCAGAAUAAGCACCGGCUAACUCUGUGCCAGCAGCCGCGGUAAUACAGAGGGUGCAAGCGUUAAUCGGAUUUACUGGGCGUCAAGCGCGCGUAGGUGGCCAAUUAAGUCAAAGGUGAAAUCCCCGAGCUUAACUUGGGAAUUGCAUUCGAUACUGGUUGGCUAGAGUAUGGGAGAGGAUGGUAGAAUUCCAGGUGUAGCGGUGAAAUGCGUAGAGAUCUGGAGGAAUACCGAUGGCGAAGGCAGCCAUCUGGCCUAAUACUGACACUGAGGUGCGAAAGCAUGGGGAGCAAACAGGAUUAGAAACCCCGGUAGUCC